GUCUCUUCGGAGACAUCCGAUAAAAUUGGAACGAUACAGAGAGAUUAGCAUUGGCCCCUGUGCAAGGAUGACAUAGACAAAUCAAGAAAAGAAAAGGAAUGGA
rnacentral:snRNA from 1 species